UGUACGUGCUUUAUCACACAAUAUCAUUAAUUCAAUAGUUGGGAAGAAAUAUUGUUAUUAGAUAAAUUUUAAAUAUUCAUAUCAAUUUGGUACUUAUAAAAAUUCGGGGACAAAAAUGAAUAAUAAAAUAAAAUGUAAUUAUGUGAAAUGUAGUAUGAUAAAUAUUCAUAGCAUUCUUAUUAGAUAGGAGUGGAGAAGCAAGAGUGUGGCCGUUUAGAUUACAAAGCACAUAGCAAUGUAAAGAGGGAGAAACACGAGGCCAGCCGCUACCACACCACUCCACAGUGUCCACUACCAAAGCUCAGGACCUCUUCCAUUGCCGUAGCUUCCACACGAGAUACCGUUGCCGGAAGAAUUUCGCCUAAACAAAUCGUCCUCUCCGCAACCAUAACCUUUUUACGGCCAUUACUGCCACAUUCGUGACUCUCGUAUUCUUCCGAAUAUGAAGUAUAAUGCUGUUAGAGUUGUGACAUUAUGUCCUUUCAAUAUCUGUGCAUCAUAAAGGGUAGCUCGAGUGUUUGGUGUGAGUGUAUCAGAAUUGACAUGUGUGUUGGGGAGGGGUAGAGAAGAUUCACUUGGACAUGUGUGUUGGGGUAAGAGACUGGCACAUUAAUCUUUCAGAUUUCUCCUUCCAUGCGUGUGAACAACUUUAAGACUAAUAGAUGAAAGUCUCAAAAGCUUGCCUCAGAAUUGUUCAAUAGGGCAGGGAAGAUUCACUUGGACGUGUGUUGGGGUAAGAGACUGGCAGAGUAAGCUUUCAGAUUUCUCCUUUCCUGUAUUUGUGAACAACUUUAAGGCUAACAGAUGAACGUCGUAAUUAAAGCCCUGGCUCGGAAUUGUUCAAUGCUUGAAUCCAUUAAAAUGUUUUAUUCUGAUGGAAGAGGUCCCAAUAUUUCCCCUAGAUGGGUGUUCACUGAGGGAAUUUUCUUUUGACCAAGUCUAUUCCUUCAAUGAUAAUGGGAUGCAAGCUCAUACCUUGAAACAUUAGAAACUCGUCAGAUGCCAAGCAAUCAGUGAUGAAGGGCUGCAGCUUGUGAGCCAGUUUUCCCGAUUAUGGUUCUUGUGACUAAUAAGCAAAACCAAUGAUGGGUUGAAGCCACUUUUUGGUUCUUACAAACUGGGACUUGUUGCUGUUGAUGAUUGUCUUCAAAUAAAUUUACUGAGAGGGGUAUGGCGGGAGCAGCAAGAUCCAUUUCUUUAAGGCAAGGCUUGUGUUGGAUGUUUUGAAUAUCUUCCUUGUUUGCUUAUGUAUAGUAUUUAUAUAUGUUUUUAUGUACAAUUUCUAAUUAGAAUGACCGAUUAAGGAAUUUGAAUUAGAUAGGAGAGGAAGAUCGAGAAUAUAUCAUAGCUAGAAUAGAAUUCAGAUUCAGAGCAUGCUAAUUAAUUUUUCUAUCUUAUUUAUUUGGUUAAUAAAUUAAUUAAUACUUGUGCA